GAUCCUGAGCAGAAGGCAGGUGCUUAACUGACUGAGCCACCCAGGUACCCUUUGAAGUUCUUUCUUAACAGCAAGCAGGAGGCUGGGGAAAACAACAUAGAGUCCUUGAGUUCUUUAUCUUGUCACCCAUAAUAAUCCUAACAUUCACAGAGUUUGUUGGAGAUGUUCUUUGAAGGAAUCUUUGGUUUGUUGCAGAAAAGCUUGAUGUAACAGUGGCCCCUUCCAGAAGGGGAGCUCUGUGGCUGGAGGAUAGGAGUAGGAGGGAUCCUUCUUUGCUUAUAUUUUUACACUGUAUGCCUGUUUAUAAAGAAUGUUUAACUUAAACAAGGGUCUUUGUAAAUGCUUUUGAUGAUGCUAACACAUAUGAAUGAAUGUGUUAUUCUAGCUCCAGAUGGACGAAAUCUUAAGUGACCUCCAUAAGCAAAUACAUAGAGGGUACCUCCAUCUGGGGAAGAGGGCAGAUAGAAUUCCCCCAGAUCCAUUAACAAUGCCACUAAUCUUAGAAUAUUCUACAUCUUUCAGUGUAAACUUUAAUUUAGGUUCCCUCCUAGUUGCUAAUCAUAAAAAAAAAAAAAAAUUACAUUUUUGUACAACAUUUUCUGGUAAGCAGUGUUCACUAUUUAUAUGCCUAUUUAAUUCAGCCUAAGUAAACUUGAGAUUUACUCCAUGGCUGAAAUACCCACAUUUUAUAAAUUACAAGUUUCUUGUAACUAAGCUCGUUUAUGAGCAUACUCACAUUUUCAGAACUGUAGAUGUAUAAAUUGGGUACCUACCAUGCAGUGAGAUGCUUCAGUUGGAGGUCUUAAAACCACUUGGUUAGCUCUGGGUGGUGGGCACUUAGAAUGCCCGAUGUAUUGUCCAUAGGAGAAUGAGUUUUCCUUUAUCCCCGGCUGCAAUUUAAUUCCCUGGGUGUUUUCUGUAUAGACUGGUGACUUCAGUGGUGGUGACAUUUCCAAAUCAUUGUGUAUUUGUUUUUGCUGAGAUGUUGAGCUGCGUAUAAGCAGGAGGCGGGGGAAAGCAGUAAUGGCUGUCUUCUGGGCUUAUCUCUCCUCUGAAGUGAAGCAGGACUGACUUGGGAAGUUCCAAAAGAACUGCUGAAUUUGGGCCCACAGAGAGUUUAUGAAAUGAAUAGAGAAACAAGCUGUCUCUUCUCAGGCUGGGGCAUUUGUGGGCAUCUGUUUUGAUGCCCGGUCUCUUCACAAUUAGCCUGUAACAUUUUCAGUAUUUCUGAAACAUUGCUGUCAGGUAGUUCUCUCUAACUGACGUGGUUGUGGGAACAGUUUUAUUAAGCAACUGAUUUAAAACUUUCAGAAAGAUGGUUUAAACAGUUUAGCAAUAUAAUUUCCACAAGGAAUAAUGGAUUUGGCUUUGAAUGCACAUUAAUUAGUAACCAAAGUGACUUCUGAGUCCGCUUAUUAAGUCAUAUGCAGAUUGUUGGAUGGCAGAGUAUAUAGAGGACACAUAGUCGUGCUUCUUAGCUGCUGAGGAUGGGAAGGCUGAUCCGUGUUUUUUAGUGAAAUGCAUUCUUUCUUGGCCUCAAUUAUACUUCAUGUAGAAUAUUUUGAAACUUCUAAGUUCUGAUGACAUAGCCAAAUUCAGAAUUUGUAGGAGUUGUUUGUUUUGGUAGGCUUCACUCUUCCAUUUUUCAUAGUUAAUAUUGAUUUUUGGAUUAGAAUAAUAAAGGAGGUAACAUGAUGCUGUGUUACAUUUAGAUUAGUUGAUUAUGGUUGUACUUACAAAUGGUAGUGGUAUUAUAGAGUAACAGCCUUUAUUAGAACACCAGAUUUGUGUGUAUUAAACUUUAAUUCCUAUUGCUUUGGCUUUUGGGUUUUUGCCUCUGGUUUUGGUUUUUGGAACUAUUUUAUAUUCUACGAAAUUUAUUUGGAUUAUUACAUUGAUAAAUUCUUACCGUAUUUUAUAGGAUACAUUUAUGGUCACAUGGAAGCCAUACAAAUACUAAUUUUAUUUUAACUUUUGUUUUUUAAGGAACUUGGGGAAGUGGAUCUAAAUUUGUGCUUUAAUGUAUUAGGUCAUUUAAAUAAUUUUUCAGUUCGUUCACACAUACAUAUAAGCUUUUCAUUUUUCAAGAGGAGCCCCUAAAGUCUGUAACACAGUUAUCAUCUGCCCUGAUGCUGAGUGCCUUUGUCCAGGUGUGGUGCUGGCUGGGGGGGCGAGGUACACAACCAGGAGUGUCUUUAGUUUGGAUAGUAUUUGGAAACACUGAAGGAUAUUUCUUUAAGAUCAUCACAGUAAUGUGCAGGACAGUUCCCAGAAAACAAAAACUUCUUUUCCCUGGCACUCAAAAUUUUGUGAUAAUGAUGCUGAAAUGGUGAACAUUUUUCUAUUUUCAGAGGUUCAACAACACAAGGAGAAAAGCACUCACACUCGAUUUUAAGAUAAUCGAAACUAUGUUCCAACUUCCUGUCAACAAUCUUGGCAGUUUAAGAAAAGCCCGGAAAACUGUGAAAAAAAUACUUAGUGACAUUGGGUUGGAAUACUGUAAAGAACACAUAGAAGAUUUUAAACAGUUUGAACCUAAUGACUUUUAUUUGAAAAACACUACAUGGGAGGAUGUAGGACUGUGGGACCCUUCACUUACAAAAAAUCAGGUAAGUAGCACAGGGGACUUCCCCAAAUGGCUACAUCCUUGGUAUACUCCCUUUUCAGCUCUAGGCCUGUCAUAGUGAAGCAUUGUUUUGUGGGCAGCAACCUUG